rnacentral:tRNA from 1 species
CGGGACGUGGCGCAGUUUGGUAGCGCGCAGCGUUCGGGACGCUGAGGUCGCGGGUUCAAAUCCCGCCGUCCCGACCG